CGACCUCAGAUCAGGCGGGACUACCCGCCGGAUUUAAGCAUAUUAAUAAGCGGAGGAAAAGAAAACAACCGUGAUUCCCUUAGUAGCGGCGAGCGAACCGGGAAAAGCCCAUCGCCGAAUCUCGCCGCGCACUUUUGUGUCGCGGCACGUAUGAGAGUUGUGGCGUACGGGCCGGCCUCGUUGCCGGGGCGCACGUGACGGUCCAAGUCUCCCUUGAACGGGGCCAUGGCCCGCAGAUGGUGCCAGGCCAGUAGAGGCCGUCACAGCGUUCCGGGAUCGGACCGCGCCUUCGAGUCGGGUUGCUUGAGAGUGCAGCCCGAAGCGGGUGGUAAACUCCAUCUAAGGCUAAAUACGGCCACGAGACCGAUAGUUUACAAGUACCGUGAGGGAAAGUUGAAAAGAACUUUGAAGAGAGAGUUCAUAAGAACGUGAAACCGCUCGGUUGUAAACGGACAGAGCUCGCGAAUCCCCGCCGGGCGAAUUCACGGUCGGUCUAACCGCCGGCCGGAUCUUUCGCUCGGUUAGCGGACGUCGCGACCCGUUGGGCGCCGGCCGAAUGGCCCGGGUGACGUUCGUCGCGUCGGUCGCGUUUCGGCGUGACCGUUCGCGCCGAGCCCCGGUGCUCAUGGUCGGCUCGCCCGACGGCAAGAACCGUCGACGCGGCCCCGUCGCAGGCGGGGUCCCGUCGGUCGGCGACGUGUUUCGAGCUACUUUCCGACCCGUCUUGAAACACGGACCAAGGAGUCUAACGUGUGCGCGAGUCAACGGUGAUCUUACGAAAAACCACGUUUGGCGCAAUGAAAGUGAACCGUUUACGGUGCGGACGAUGGCCUAGCGACCGAACCCACCGGCGUUCAAAGUCGCGCUGGUCCGCAGUCCGGGGGCGUCUCCGCCAAGUCGGCUUCGGCCGGCUGGGGGCGCACCCUUAGCGCACACGUUGGUACCCGAAAGAUGGUGAACUAUGCCUGGCCAGGAUGAAGUCAGGGGAAACCCUGAUGGAGGUCCGCAGCGAUUCUGACGUGCAAAUCGAUCGUCUGAGCUGGGUAUAGGGGCGAAAGACUAAUCGAACCAUCUAGUAGCUGGUCC
rnacentral:ncRNA from 1 species